GUAAAUGUACAUGUUCCAGUUUUGCCCUCAUAGCUUCCUCAAAAAAUGCAUGAACCAUGCAUGUGAGGCUUUGUUGGAACCGGGGGAUGUUGGUGAACAAAAUUUGCACAUAUUCUAUACAAAAUAUAAUAUAAAAUCUAAAGCAACAUUGCAACAAAUGCAAAAAAAAACAAAAACAUAUAAAAAUACCUCAAAAUUUGGCAGCAAUUGGCGAUAAAAUCCCUGUUUGAAAAGUGUCAAAAUGACCCUAGUUGUACACCUUGACUUAUCUACUGUUCAUAAACAUAUAAUUUUGGGGGGAUAAUCAGUAUCUGUGACAACUAUUGAAGUUAUUAGACUACCAUGCCAAAUUUGAAAAAAAUUACAUUUCAAAAA